rnacentral:rRNA from 1 species
AUUGAACGCUAGCGGCAUGCUUAACACAUGCAAGUCGAACGGUAACAGGACUAGCUUGCUAGUCGCUGACGAGUGGCGGACGGGUGAGUAAUGCGUAGGAAUCUACCUUGUAGUGGGGGAUAACCCGGGGAAACUCGGGCUAAUACCGCAUAAUCUCUACGGAGCAAAGUGGGGGACUUUCGAGCCUCACGCUAUAAGAUGAGCCUACGUCGGAUUAGCUUGUUGGUGGGGUAAUGGCCUACCAAGGCGACGAUCCGUAGCUGGUCUGAGAGGACGAUCAGCCACACUGGGACUGAGACACGGCCCAGACUCCUACGGGAGGCAGCAGUGGGGAAUAUUGGACAAUGGGCGAAAGCCUGAUCCAGCAAUGCCGCGUGUGUGAAGAAGGCCUUCGGGUUGUAAAGCACUUUCAGUGGGGAAGAAAAGUUCAUGGCUAAUAUCCAUGGACCUUGACGUUACCUACAGAAGAAGCACUGGCUAACUCUGUGCCAGCCGCCGCCGUAAAAC